CUGUCAUGCGCGCCUGGGCAAAUAGUCGGAAGGACGAUGCUAGGCUUUCAAUCGUCAGGGUUGAGAGGUGGUUUUCUGAGCUGUCCGAUCCAAACCGUGAAUCA
rnacentral:SRP_RNA from 1 species